rnacentral:rRNA from 1 species
ACGUUGUUGCGGUUAAAAGCUCGUAGUUGGAUUUCUGUGUUGGUGAGGCGGCCGGCCACUCGUGGUUGUAGCUAGUUAUCACCGACGCAUCUUGUCACAAUCCUGUCUGGCCUUCACUGGUUGGAUAUGGGGACUGACUCGUUUACUUUGAGAAAAUUAGAGUGUUCAAAGCAGGCUAUCGCCUUGAAUAUAUUAGCAUGGAAUAAUGAUAUAGGACUUUGGUUCUAUUUUGUUGGUUGUUCGAGAACCGAAGUAAUGAUUGAUAGGGACAGUUGGGGGCAUCAGUAUUCUGAAGCGAGAGGUGAAAUUCUUGGACCUUCGGAAGACUAACAGCUGCGAAAGCGUUUGCCUAGGAUGUUCUCUUUAAUCAAGAACGAAAGUUGGGGGAUCGAAGACGAUCAGAUACCCGUCGUAGUCUCAACUAUAAACUAUGCCAGCUAGGGAUUGGUGGACGUUUAUUUACGACUCCAUCAGCACCUUAUGAGA